GACGAACGCUGGCGGCGUGCUUAACACAUGCAAGUCGAACGCUGAAGCCCAGCUUGCUGGGUGGAUGAGUGGCGAACGGGUGAGUAACACGUGAGUAACCUGCCCCCUUCUUUGGGAUAACGCCCGGAAACGGGUGCUAAUACUGGAUAUUCACUGGCCUUCGCAUGGGGGUUGGUGGAAAGGUUUUUUCUGGUGGGGGGUGGGCUCGCGGCCUAUCAGCUUGUUGGUGGGGUGAUGGCCUACCAAGGCUUUGACGGGUGGCCGGAGUGGGAGGGUGACCGGACAGAGUGGGACUGAGAGACGGCCCAGACACGGGCGGGAGGCAGCAGUGGGGAAUAUUGCACAGUGGGCGAAAGCCGGAUGCAGGGACGGCGCGUGAGGGAUGACGGCGUUCGGGUUGUAACCCUCUUUCGCUCAGGGGCAAGCCGCAGCUUUGGGUUGUGGUGAGGGUAGUGGGUAAAGAAGCGCCGGCUAACUACGUG
rnacentral:rRNA from 1 species